rnacentral:rRNA from 1 species
CGCGGCCUAUCAGCUUGUUGGGGGGGUAACGGCCCACCAAGGCGACGACGGGUAGCCGGCCUGAGAGGGCGACCGGCCACACUGGGACUGAGACACGGCCCAGACUCCUACGGGAGGCAGCAGUGGGGAAUAUUGCGCAAUGGGCGAAAGCCUGACGCAGCGACGCCGCGUGAGGGAUGAAGGCCUUCGGGUUGUAAACCUCUUUCAGCAGGGACGAAGCGAAAGUGACGGUACCUGCAGAAGAAGCACCGGCCAACUACGUGCCAGCAGCCGCGGUAAUACGUAGGGUGCAAGCGUUGUCCGGAAUUAUUGGGCGUAAAGAGCUCGUAGGCGGCCUGUCGCGUCGGCUGUGAAAACUCAGGGCUCAACCCUGAGCCUGCAGUCGAUACGGGCAGGCUAGAGUCCGGUAGGGGAGAAUGGAAUUCCCGGUGUAGCGGUGAAAUGCGCAGAUAUCGGGAGGAACACCGGUGGCGAAGGCGGUUCUCUGGGCCUUACCUGACGCUGAGGAGCGAAAGCGUGGGGAGCGAACAGGAUUAGAUACCCUGGUAGUCCACGCCGUAAACGUUGGGCGCUAGGCGUGGGAUCCUUCCACGGAUUCCGUGCCGCAGCUAACGCAUUAAGCGCCCCGCCUGGGGAGUACGGGCGGCCUAUCAGCUUGUUGGCGG